CAUUGGCUCUGACCAUUUCCACGUGUCAAGCACGUGGGAUCUGUUUUGUUCCAGUUCACUUGGGUCUGCAACAACAACAACAAAAAAGCCGUGACCUUGCCAGCAUUCACCUGGGUUUGUGGAGGUGGUUCGGGAGGGCCAGGGCCAAGAUUAAAUUCCUGCAGCAGAAGUCAGAAGAGAAUCCCUCCAAACCGGGGCUGCUCCUUAAAAUCCAGGAUGCAUUCCAUCUGUGUUCCCUUUGGCAUCCGGCCCGAUGCCUGCGACAGGCGCUCAAUCAGUGCCUUAGGGCAGGAGCCCCACCCCUGCUUCUUUGGUCACCUGGUGAGAAGAGGAGAAGCCUAGAGCUCCCCCUAGAGGGAUCCAGGUUAACAGAGGCUCAACAACUUUGCGGACGGAGGGGGGCACUCUUCAUGGUGAUGGCAGGAGGAGAAGAGGGAGAAUCCUGUAGUGACUCUUUAUCUUCUGCCUGAAUGUGAUACUUGUCAAUUCUGCUUGACCUGUUGGGCUACAGCAGGUCACAUGGCAUGACUGACUUCAAGAGGCAGGAAGGUGAUCUUACUGUGCCCCCAAGGAGAACCAGAAAUACUGAUGAGUAGGACUGAUGUCUAUCACAAAUACGAAGGUAUCAAAUAUGAAUACAAAUGUAUCACAGAUACAUGUGACAACUGGACAA